rnacentral:rRNA from 1 species
UGGUGAGGUAAUGGCUCACCAAGGCGACGAUCCGUAACUGGUCUGAGAGGAUGAUCAGUCACACUGGAACUGAGACACGGUCCAGACUCCUACGGGAGGCAGCAGUGGGGAAUAUUGGACAAUGGGCGAAAGCCUGAUCCAGCCACGCCGCGUGUGUGAAGAAGGUCUUCGGAUUGUAAAGCACUUUAAGUUGGGAGGAAGGGUUGUAGAUUAAUACUCUGCAAUUUUGACGUUACCGACAGAAUAAGCACCGGCUAACUCUGUGCCAGCAGCCGCGGUAAUACAGAGGGUGCAAGCGUUAAUCGGAAUUACUGGGCGUAAAGCGCGCGUAGGUGGUUUGUUAAGUUGGAUGUGAAAGCCCCGGGCUCAACCUGGGAACUGCAUCCAAAACUGGCAAGCUAGAGUACGGUAGAGGGUGGUGGAAUUUCCUGUGUAGCGGUGAAAUGCGUAGAUAUAGGAAGGAACACCAGUGGCGAAGGCGACCACCUGGACUGAUACUGACACUGAGGUGCGAAAGGGUGGGGAGCAAACAGGAUUAGAUACCCUGGUAGACCUUUAAAAGGG